ACAGAGUAGAGACAUACAGAGACGUAACUGAUGUACCCACUUUUUUUGUGCGCAUGCUCGGCAAGUUACUAGAUGCAUGCAUCUGAUUGGAUGACGACCUGAUGACGACUCAUUUUAAACUUGCUGAGCACGCGCAGUUGAUCAUUUUUUGCCCGGUCGCUUGAAAAAAAGUGGGUACAUGAUAACGUCACAGAAUAGGAAGUUAUACCAGAAGCGUAACUCGAGCAAAUAUUUGUCCGCGAUUUUACAAGCGAUUCGUCAUCAAUCACGCCAUCCUGGCUAGUACAACCGGCACUUUGU